CACUGCAUGCAAUAACAUCUUCCCUACCAAACAAUGAGACGACAAAUAAAAUCCUCGCUAAGGUUUGAAGGAAAUUAUCCAGCUUUCUCUGAAGAUAGAGACAGACGGAGAGAACUCAUGAGACUUUGGAUAUGUCAGUGAACUCUAAGGUUCCUCUAUUCUUUCUAAACACUUGGAGUAAGUUCUAGGCAAGACGCGAAUCCCUUAGAGCCUGGGCAAUGCCACUGAAGUCAGUGAAAAGCCUGUCUAAUGACAAAGAAGAGCAAUUCCCUGAUAAGCAAAAACAACUCCAGGGUCUCAGACGUAACACUAACCUAGCCAAUUGGAAGCAGCCAUCAUUUUGACAGCGGGAUGAUGUAGGGUAGGACCGAGAAAACUGACACAUUUAAGUCCACAGCAAAGCAGCGACCUUCAACGAUAGAAGGGGUGCCAUAAGGAGAAGCCCACGACCGCACAAAAUAGGAACAGAGAUGCAUGGAGGCUGGGCAGAGUGUCUUCUCAUGUGUCUGAAGCAGGUGAAAGUAAGCCGGUCCGGUCCAUUCUGGCAUACUGGUGCACAAGCGUCCUUGGAGCUCCACAAUGAUUCAUUUGCAAAAGACUGGACUUAGUCUGAACGUGUAUUUGUCACACAUUUCUUCUGCAGGACAAGACCUCCCUUGAUCUUGGAGCUACAACCAAAUAGUUUUAACUGCAGUAAAACAAAUACUGCAGAAAAGCAUAAAGGAAAAAAUUCCCAUUCUCCUUCUCGAAGUAUAAUGAAAAAAAAUCACAGUGGAUCAUACAUCCCGUGUAAAUGCCCACUUUGCCCUUAGGCAGAGCCUUUC